UACGUAGGGGGCUAGCGUUGUCCGGAUUUAUUGGGCGUAAAGAGCGUGUAGGCGGCCAAGCAGGUCCGCUGUGAAAACUCGAGGCUCAACCUCGAGACGUCGGUGGAAACCGUUUGGCUAGAGUCCGGAAGAGGAGAGUGGAAUUCCCGGUGUAGCGGUGAAAUGCGCAGAUAUCAGGAGGAACACCGAUGGCGAAGGCAGGUCUCUGGGCCACUACUGACGCUGAGAAGCGAAAGCAUGGGGAGCGAACAGG
rnacentral:rRNA from 1 species